rnacentral:misc_RNA from 1 species
UCCGUCUAUUUGCAUUCAAUUAUCGAAAGCACCAGUAGUCACUAUGUGCAUCUCAUUCUAGCACCAUUUUGCAUCCUCCAAAUGACUUUUGGAAAAAAGAGAUAGUCAUCGCAUAAGUCGAUUCGAAUCUACACGCUGUAGAUAUAGAAUAGGUUGCGACUGUGACGGUAUUUCUAUAAAUGUCAAAAUAACUCUCUCGAUGCCAAGUGACUAUUGUUGUUUUUAUAAUGUUAUUUCGUUUAUUUUCUAAAAUGCAUCGAGAUUGAGUAUUCCGCGUUCGCGAUUAUUUAUUGUCGACACGUAAAAUACCACGCAAUGUGCUUGCCCUACGCGAUUUAGAGAUAUAUCUUUACUCUUGAAAAUGUCAAAUUGUUUUUUAGUGUUUUGUAUGUAUUUUUAUUUCAAAACGCGGUUAUAACUCUUGCAUAUAGUGUAAAUGAGUGUUGUGUCUGUAUAUGAAAUGAUUUUAGAGUUAAUUAUAUGUGUUAAUGUUGUAAUAUUGCUCAGUGAAGUGUGUUGGUGAGGUUAGUUUUUCUUCCCGCUAUUAUGAGGUCCCUGUUCACAUAUCCUGGCUGCGGUUCGUGCCAGCUCAAUUUAUUUCUGGGAGGACAGGCGCCGGCCAGCUAAUACUCAACGGUUUUACAUUCUAUUUGAAAAAUAACCAAACCCAGGGCAAGAAGCAGUGGUAUUGUUCCGCAAGAGACACCCAGGGCUGCCGUGUUGACGUCAUCACAUACAAGGGUGUAGACGGUAUAGAUUAUAUAUCAAUAUUCCGUGGACGACAUAUACACGAACCUCCCCGUUUGCGGAAAUGUCGCGACGGCAGAUGUAUUAGAGAUUAUAAGUAUAGAUAAAAAUUAAAUUUUUACACAUUUUUUUUUAUUAUAUUUUAUUUUACAAAAAAAUGUGAUAUACUUACUUAUAAAUGAAAUUCAAGCAAUCGUUUUUAUUUUCUGUUUACUUACAAUGUUUUAGAAAAAGAUAAUGAAAUGUAAAUGUAGAUCUAAAUGACUAAUUUUAAAUAUGUUUUCUGUUUAUUUCUGUGCAAAAUUGUGCAAAUUGAUUCACCGUUUCACAGGUGAAUUAUAAGUAGCUGUGCGUUAUCA